UACGUUCCCGGACCUUGUACACACCGCCCGUCAAGCCAUGGAAGUCAGGUGUACCUGAAGACGAUGACCGUAAGGAGUUGUCUAGGGUAAAACUGGUGACUGGGGCU
rnacentral:rRNA from 1 species